UACGGGGGGUGCGAGCGUUGUCCGGAAUCACUGGGCGUAAAGGGCGCGUAGGUGGUUUGAUAAGGGUGUGGUGAAAGUCCGGAGCUCAACUCCGGAUCUGCCAUGCCGACUGUCAAACUCGAGGGCUGUAGAGGCAGACGGAAUUCCGCGUGUAGCAGUGAAAUGCGUAGAUAUGCGGAGGAACACCGAUGGCGAAUGCAAUCCCCUGGGCCUGCACUGACGCUCAUGCACGAAAGCGUGGGGAGCAAACAGG
rnacentral:rRNA from 1 species